CCCUUAGACGUUCUGGGCCGCACGCGCGCUACACUGACCGGUGCAACAAGCAUCCGUCCUUGGCCGACAGGCCCGGGCAAUCUUUGAACGCCGGUCGUGAUGGGGAUAGACUUUUGCAAUUUUUGGUCUUCAACGAGGAAUUCCUAGUAAACGCAAGUCAUCAACUUGCAUUGAUUACGUCCCUGCCCUUUGUACACACCGCCCGUCGCACCUACCGAUUGAAUGGUCCGGUGAAGCCUCCGGAUUGGCGCGCACCUCGGUGCCGCCGAGAAGUUGGCUAAACCUUACCAUCUAGAGGAAGGUGAAGUCGUAACA
rnacentral:rRNA from 1 species